rnacentral:rRNA from 1 species
GACGAACGCUGGCGGCGUGCCUAAUACAUGCAAGUCGAGCGGACGGAUGGGAGCUUGCUCCCAGACCGUCAGGGGCGGGCGGGUGAGUAACACGUGGGAAACCUGCCUGUAAGACUGGGAUAACUCCGGGAAACCGGGGCUAAUAACGGAUAACUCUUUCCCUCACAUGAGGGAAAGCUGAAAGAUGGCAUUUCGCUAUCACUUACAGAUGGGCCCGCGGCGCAUUAGCUAGUUGGUGAGGUAACGGCUCACCAAGGCGACGAUGCGUAGCCGACCUGAGAGGGUGAUCGGCCACACUGGGACUGAGACACGGCCCAGACUCCUACGGGAGGCAGCAGUAGGGAAUCUUCCGCAAUGGGCGAAAGUCUGACGGAGCAACGCCGCGUGAGUGAUGAAGGUUUUCGGAUCGUGAAACUCUGUUGUCAGGGAAGAACAAGUACCGGAGUAACUGCCGGUACCUUGACGGUACCUGACCAGAAAGCCACGGCUAACUACGUG